UUCCAUAAUGCGAUAGAAAAGACGCAACAUUUUGUUUUCAAGACCAGUUAGCAAUCUGCUGCACAGUUAAGUAAUGAGAUUUAUGUUUGGGUCAUUCCAUGUCAACUG